rnacentral:rRNA from 1 species
CAGCAGUGGGGAAUUUUGCGCAAUGGNNNAAAGCCUGACGCAGCAACGCCGCGUGAGUGAUGAAGGCUUUCGGGUCGUAAAGCUCUGUCAGAGGGGAAGAAACUAUUGUGGUNNNAUAGGUCGCGGUACUGACGGUACCCUCAAAGGAAGCACCGGCUAACUCCGUGCCAGCAGCCGCGGUAAUACGGAGGGUGCAAGCGUUGUUCGGAAUUAUUGGGCGUAAAGCGCGUGUAGGCGGUCUGUUAAGUCUGAUGUGAAAGCCCCGGGCUCAACCCGGGAAGUGCAUUGGAUACUGGCAGACUUGAGUACGGGAGAGGGAAGUGGAAUUCCGAGUGUAGGGGUGAAAUCCGUAGAUAUUCGGAGGAACACCGGUGGCGAAGGCGGCUUCCUGGACCGAUACUGACGCUGAGACGCGAAAGCGUGGGGAGCAAACAGGAUUAGAUACCCUGGUAGUCCACGCCGUAAACGAUGGGUACUAGGUGUCGCGG